UACAGAGGGUGCGAGCGUUGUCCGGAAUCACUGGGCGUAAAGGGCGCGUAGGUGGUGGCUUAAGCGUGCGGUGAAAGCUCGGGGCUCAACUCCGAGUCGGCCGUGCGAACUGGGCUCACUGGAGCAUAGUAGAGGCAGGUGGAAUUCCGGGUGUAGCGGUGGAAUGCGUAGAGAUCCGGAAGAACACCGGUGGCGAAGGCGGCUGACUGGACACAUAUUGACGCUGAGGCUCGAAAGCAUGGGGAGCAAACAGG
rnacentral:rRNA from 1 species